GUGCUUGCUUUGGCAGCACAUAUACUAAAAUUACAAUAAUACAGAGAUUAUUAGCAUGUCCCCUACGCAAGAAUGACACGUAAAUUCGUGAAGCAUUCCAUUUUUUA